GGUUGUGGCUCAGUGGUAGAGCACUUGCCUAGUAUGCGUGAGGCACUGGGUUCAAUCCCUGGCACCA
rnacentral:tRNA from 1 species